GACGAACGCUGGCGGCGUGCUUAACACAUGCAAGUCGAGCGGUAAGGCCCUUUCGGGGGUACACGAGCGGCGAACGGGUGAGUAACACGCGGGUGACCUGCCCUCAGCUCUGGGAUAAGCCUGGGAAACCGGGUCUAAUACUGGAUAUGACUCCAUGACGCAUGUCGUGGGGUGGAAAGCCUUGUGCGGCUGAGGAUGGGCCCGCGGCCUAUCAGCUUGUUGGUGGGGUGANGGCCUACCAAGGCGACGACGGGUAGCCGGCCUGAGAGGGCGACCGGCCACACUGGGACUGAGACACGGCCCAGACUCCUACGGGAGGCAGCAGUGGGGAAUCUUGCGCAAUGGGCGAAAGCCUGACGCAGCGACGCCGCGUGAGGGAUGACGGCCU
rnacentral:rRNA from 1 species